rnacentral:rRNA from 1 species
AGCGGCGGAGGGGUGAGUAACGCGUGGGAAUUUACCAAAGAGUGGGGAACAACUGCUGGAAACGGCAGCUAAUACCGCAUACGCCCUAUGGGGGAAAGGCUUCGGCCGCUCUUUGAGAAGCCCGCGUACGAUUAGUUUGUUGGUGGGGAAUGGCCUACCAAGACUACGAUCGUUAGCUGGUCUGAGAGGACGAUCAGCCACACUGGGACUGAGACACGGCCCAGACUCCUACGGGAGGCAGCAGUGGGGAAUAUUGGACAAUGGGCGAAAGCCUGAUCCAGCGAUGCCGCGUGAGUGAAGAAGGCCCUAGGGUUGUAAAGCUCUUUCGGUGGGGAAGAUAAUGACGGUACCCACAAAAGAAGCCCCGGCUAACUCCGUGCCAGCAGCCGCGGUAAUACGGAGGGGGCUAGCGUUACUCGGAAUUACUGGGCGUAAAGCGAGCGUAGGCGGUUAACUAAGUUGGGGGUGAAAGCCCGGGGCUCAACCCCGGAAAUGCCCUCAAAACUAGUUAGCUAGAGGACGGGAGAGGGGAGUGGAACUCCCAGUGUAGAGGUGAAAUUCGUAGAUAUUUGGAAGAACACCAGUGGCGAAGGCGACUCUCUGGACCGUUUCUGACGCUAAGGCUCGAAAGCGUGGGUAGCAAACAGGAUUAGAUACCCUGGUAGUCCACGCCGUAAACGAUGAGUGCUAGACGUUGGGGGGAACGCCCUUCAGUGUCGUCGCUAACGCAUUAAGCACUCCGCCUGGGGAGUAC